rnacentral:rRNA from 1 species
GAUGAACGCUAGCGAUAGGCCUAACACAUGCAAGUCGAGGGGCAUCACAUGAAGUAGCAAUACGGAUGGUGGCGACCGGCGCACGGGUGAGUAACACGUAUGCAACCUGCCUUCAACAAGGGGAUAACCCGUUGAAAGACGGACUAAUACCCUAUAACACAGGGGUCCCGCAUGGGAAUAUUUGUUAAAGGACAACCGGUUGAAGAUGGGCAUGCGUUCCAUUAGCUAGUUGGCGGGUAACGGCCCACCAAGGCAACGAUGGAUAGGGGAACUGAGAGGUUUAUCCCCCACACUGGUACUGAGACACGGACCAGACUCCUACGGGAGGCAGCAGUGAGGAAUAUUGGUCAAUGGACGCAAGUCUGAACCAGCCACGUCGCGUGAAGGAAGACGGCCCUACGGGUGUAAACUUCUUUUGCAAGGGAUAAGUGGCCACGUGUGGCCUUUUGCAAGUACCUUGCGAAUAGGAUCGGCUAACUCCGUG